UUUGACCUCAAAUCAGGUAGGGCUACCCGCUGAACUUAA
rnacentral:rRNA from 1 species